UCCGUCAUAGACUCCGCAGCCCGACAGCACCUGCAAGAGGAGAGGCGCUGACGAGGACGAAGGGCCCAAUACGAAAUCACCAAGGGGAGAGGAAGGCUGAAUCCCCUCAGGGGCCCACCCUGGGAAGGAGCUCAGGUCCCCACACACUGGCACCUGCCUGCAGUCACUUGAGGAACUAGCACUUAACACUCCCGAGAGUGGUACCCACAGCAACAUCCAGCCAGGAGACUGAUGCUCUUACCUGCCAUCAGGGGAGAAGGAGAUGCUGUGCACGGAGCCUUUGAAGUGAAAGUGGUGUAGCACCGACCUGCAGACCAGGCUGACUAGCAGAGCGUCGCCCCCUGGAAGAGGCCACAGUGAGACCAUGGCCACCUGACCCCAGAUGCAGCACAUCUGCACUGAAGUGCAGGAAGCUGUGGUGUAUGGGACAUGGGUUUCCCGGACCCACGCUAUAGAGUUGAGCUUGGCUGUGGUGAUGCCCUUGUCACACAGCACAACGGACACAGGGCCACCCCAGUGCCGACCCACACUAAGAUUGAUUACCUUCGUCAACGAUGAUUGCAAGGCGACCAUCUGGAGACAGCCCCACACACUUGAUGUUGUACUUAGUCGCCAGGGGCAACGUAUCUGAUCUGUUGCUGAGAAACACAAACACCCCAGUGCACAGUUGGUCUCGUGCUCUCGGACAGGGGAGAUGGCUAGACUAAGAAGAUACUAUUUAAAGAAACAGCGACAUAGAAGACCUGACUAGACUCUAUAAUGUCAUUCCCCGAGUCAUCACCAACAGGCAGAGCAGGUUCCACUGCUGCCCCAUCUGUCACAGUCUGGAAACAGAGGCCCAGAGCUAGCCAACCAACUGAUGAAACAGCACAGAGAGCACAGCGGCCUGAAAAAUUGAAGGCUCUUGCCCAGGCUACCCAGGGUCAGCCCACAGCCUCUCAGACAAUCCAGGAUGGGGUAGAGUUAUUCCCAGCCAGACAGGAAGUGGGUAGCACAUUUGUUGGGACUCACAAAGCUAAACCUGACCUCAAGCUGCCAAGCUGCCCAUUCUAGAUCUGAUCAUCUGAGUAGGGAAGCCAGGAACCAUCAGGGCUACUGAGCAAGGGUCCAGGGCAGCCUGAACUCUCCAAACCACUUGGCCUCAGGUCCUCAGAGGCUUCUUCCCGAUAGUAAGUGCUCACCUUUGAGAUAACCCUCCUACCUGCCACCACCUCCAUAGAAGAGGUAGGGUCCCUUGCCAGGCACUAGCUGAAAGGCACAUGACUUUUCCUUUCCCUUUAAGGGUAGUGUGGGUAUCCUAGACACUAAAAGGAAGACUGGAUAUCCCCACAGGCAACUCUACCAUGACCAGUGGCCUCCUAAAUCCAGUAGCCCUGCAAGCCACAAGGAGGAAGGCUCAGAGGACGGCUAGCCUUCAUGUGCAGGCUCUAACUGUCAUUGCUAACAUUGCUUCUCCAUACUUACUUUUUAAGGUCAAACACAGUGACUCUAUUUCCCACAGGGCUGAUAACAGAAUUUCCAUCGCAUGUGAAAUUUAAGUUUCCACACCGAUAAACUGUACCCAACAAGUUCGAGAACUGCAAAGAGAAUGAAGUCGUCUUAACACAAAGAAAA